rnacentral:rRNA from 1 species
AUGAAGUGGCGCCAAGCUUCUGGCAUUCUCUGUGACAAGAGAGUGCCACAAAAGCUAAAAGGCAAGUUCUACAGGACGGCGGUUCGACCCGCAAUGUUGUAUGGCGCGGAGUUUUGGCCGACUAAAAGGCGACAUGUUCAACAGUUAGGUGUGGCGGAGAUGCGUAUGUUGAGAUGGAUGUGUGGCCACACGAGGAAGGAUCGAGUCCGGAAUGAUGAUAUACGAGAUAGAGUUGGGGUAGCACCAAUUGAGGAGAAGCUUGUCCAACAUCGUUUGAGAUGGUUUGGGCAUAUUCAGCGCAGGCCUCCAGAAGCUCCAGUGCAUAGCGGACGGCUAAAGCGUGCGGAGAAUGUCAAGAGAGGGCGGGGUCGACCGAUUUUGACAUGGGAGGAGUCCGUUAAGAGAGACCUGAAGGAUUGGAGUAUCGACAAAGAGCUAGCUAUGGACAGGGGUGCGUCGAAGCUUUCUAUCCAUGUGCCAGAGCCAUGA